rnacentral:lncRNA from 1 species
AUGAUGGUGGACUUCAGGAAAGUCACAGCCCCUUUGCCCCCCCUUGCCCUCAUGGACUCCCCCAUCACCAUCACGGACUCCUUCCGCUUCCUGGGCACCACCAUCACCCGGGACCUUAAGUGGGAGCCAACCAUCAGCUCCCUCAUCAAGAAGGCCCAGCAAAGGAUGUUCUUCCUACGGAAGCUGAGGAGGCUCAAACUGCCUCCCAGGAUGUUGGCGCAGUUUUAUACGGCCAUCAUGGAGUCCAUCCUCCCCUCCUCCAUCCUCCCCUCCUCCAUCCUCCCCUCCUCCAUCCUCCCCUCCUCCGUCCUCCCCUCCUCCGUCCUCACCUCCUCCGUCCUCCCCUCCUCCAUCCUCACCUCCUCCAUCCUCCCCUCCUCCGUCCUCCCCUCCUCCGUCCUCCCCUCCUCCGUCCUCACCUCCUCCAUCCUCCCCUCCUCCAUCCUCACCUCCUCCAUCCUCACCUCCUCCAUCCUCCCCUCCUCCGUCCUCACCUCCUCCAUCCUCCCCUCCUCCAUCCUCCCCUCCUCCAUCCUCACCUCCUCCAUCCUCCCCUCCUCCAUCCUCCCCUCCUCCAUCCUCCGUCCUCACCUCCUCCAUCCUCCCCUCCUCCAUCCUCCAUCCUCACCUCCUCCGUCCUCCCCUCCUCCAUCCUCCCCUCCUCCAUCCUCCCUCCUCCGUCCUCACCUCCUCCGUCCUCCCCUCCUCCGUCCUCCCCUCCUCCGUCCUCACCUCCUCCAUCCUCCCCUCCUCCGUCCUCACCUCCUCCGUCCUCCCCUCCUCCAUCCUCCCCUCCUCCAUCCUCCCCUCCUCCGUCCUCACCUCCUCCAUCCUCCCCUCCUCCCCUCCUCCGUCCUCCCCUCCUCCGUCCUCCCCUCCUCCAUCCUCCCCUCCUCCAUCCUCCCCUCCUCCAUCAUGGUGCUAUGCUGGUGCCACCGUCAGGGACAGACUGAGGCUGAGAAGGUGAUGGGCUGCAGGCUUCCAUCCAUCCAGGACCUGUAUAUCUCCAGGACCCGGAGGUGUGCAGGUCGGAUCACGGCCGACCCUUCCCACCCUGGUCACGGACUGUUUUCCCCCCUCCCCUCAGGCAGGAGACUACGGUCCAUUCGGACCAGAACCUCCCGCUACACGAACAGCUUCUUCCCCUCUGCCAUCAGGCUGCUGAACACCAAGUGA